UUUAUAAUAUGAAUGUACAAAUAGUUGAAUAUUUUAUUUACAUAAAUUGCAACAUUGCUGUUAAAUUCCUUAAUUUAUCUAAUCUUUAUUAAACCAUUAGUUUAAAACCGAUAAAAACUUACUUUGGAAUCAUUUUCUAUAGAGGUCAUUCAAUAUUCUUGCGGAGUUCUUGAAGGAUUAUUUGAUUAUAUUCUUAUUUUGAUAUGAAAGGAAGUGCAAUUACCAAUAAUAUGUAAAAAUAGUAGCAUAUUUAAAAAACCUUUCAUCAAUUCUCAAUCCGAAUGUGCCUUUUUAUUAAAAUUCCAUCCUUUAACUUAUCUGUCUGUAAACCUAAAAAUAUUCGCAAAAUAAUAUAAUAAUCAAUUAUAUCGUUUUUUAUUAUUUAUAUUUUAAAAUAAUUUAUUGAUUUUAAAAUAGUUUUUUAAUUGGGGAUUAAAUACUUUAUAAAUUUUAUUUAACUUAAAUUCACAAUUAUCAAAAAAAACACACAAUUAUUUCAGGAAUAAUUAUAAAAAUUUUUUUUAAAGAAAUGUGCCUUUUUAGACAGAAAAUUAAAUUUAAUUCUAUUAUUCUCAGUGACGGAUCGAAAACUUUUUAAAAGCACCUGCCAUUCCAAUCAUAAAUGAUAAUGAUAUAUGUGGUUGUAACAUCAUAGAACAUAUUAUUCCAAAAAAAAUCUUGACGAUAAAACCCCAAAUUCUUCGUUAAGUGUCCGAAAAAAGGAGAAUAAUAAUGGCGUUGAUCAGCAUGAAUUUCGACAAACCCUGCACCAAUCAUAUACCUACCGUGGUACAGGUUUUCGAAGCCAUGACCCCUCUUGGAUACAUUUUCCUGUCAAUCGCGACUUUGCUCUCCAUACUCACUUUCCUCAUUUUCAUGGAUGAGUUAUAUUACAUCCACGCGAAAGUGCCUUACAAGAGCCACAAAGAACGCCUCUAUUGGCUCAUAGGAAUUUUUCCGGUAUAAUCAUUAUUGUAUAUUUAUUUACUC